rnacentral:lncRNA from 1 species
CUAGAUGCUGCGAUGGGGAAAGGAGGGCAUUGAACACUUCAAUGAACAUUUGCAGCGAAUAGUUCAUAUCAUUAAACUGAGUACUUCCUUGCUAAAACCUAUGAAGGUUUCAGCAGCUGUCACUUAGUAGUCAGUAUUCUGAGAACGCGAGGUGCGUGUUUUAACAUACGCAAAUGGGAGCUAUCUCUUUUUAGCUAAUGCCUGCUUUUUGUGCCUGAGCACAUCCUCCAUUACUAGUCAAUGUCUUGGAAAGCUGCAGUGUUGAAUUCUGCUCUGAGCCAUGGCGGCUCUUCCAAAGCAUGUUUUAACUCCGUAUUUUGCGUGUGUCUUAUUGGUGACUAACAUCGCACUUGCAAGUACUGGGCCGCCUGUUGAAAACGUCGACAUCAAAAAUUCCGAACUUUAUCCACAAGUCGCGGGAGUUGAUGAUGGAGUUCAUUUGCUCCAACCCAGAGGGCUUUUUGAUAGUCUCGGCCUCAGGAGUCUUUUUGGUUCGAUCUUCGGCAACUUGGACAAGAGACAUGGUGGUAGGAGCUCCGGUCUCACCAACUUGAGAAUCCAAAGCUCGGGUGCGGGGUCUUCGCUCGGCGAGUCGUUGCAAGUCAAUUCGCAGACGGGACUCGUCCUGCGCAUGUUUAAGAGUGGAAAUAAUGAGCCGAUCAGAUUCAGGAAUAACAAGGUCUACGAGGGUGAAAAUAUGGUUUGCUCGGACAGGGAGAAGUUCUUUUCGGAACCCAAGUACCAGAAGUCGGUCCGUGGUGGGCGAUGGCAUACCAACAUCCAUGUCGGAGAGCCGAUGAGCCAGCUGGAAAUCGAUCAGUUUGAGGCGGAUUGGGCUGCAGUCUACAAGGAUAAGACAGGAUCCACUGCGGGAAAAAAGGGACAGAACCUGGAAGAGACCAAUUCAAUGAGUCCUCGUGGUACAGCAAGUCUUGCUGCCGCUAAGAAGCUUAUGAGGCGGCGAUCUUCCUGGGGAAGUGAAUCUUCCAGUUGGUGGUAACAUCACGAACGGCCGUGCACCAUAGCCGAAGGGUUUCUAAAAUAUAUUAUCUCCGCAAGAAAUGAUGGCUUUAAAUAGCUGUUGUAGAAUGUCCGUCAAAGUGCGCGAAUGGACCCAAAUUGGUACACACAAAUAUUCCUCUCCUUGUUUCAUUUUCACAUAAAAAUAAUUAAUCAUAGGAAAUUUUGUCAUCGUAAAAUAUAAGCUUUGAAAUCACAAUGAAAUCCUUUUAUGAGCAUCUU